rnacentral:rRNA from 1 species
GACGAACGCUGGCGGCGUGCUUAACACAUGCAAGUCGAACGGAAAGGCCCUGCUUUUGUGGGGUGCUCGAGUGGCGAACGGGUGAGUAACACGUGAGUAACCUGCCCUUGACUUUGGGAUAACUUCAGGAAACUGGGGCUAAUACCGGAUAGGAGCUCCUGCUGCAUGGUGGGGGUUGGAAAGUUUCGGCGGUUGGGGAUGGACUCGCGGCUUAUCAGCUUGUUGGUGGGGUAGUGGCUUACCAAGGCUUUGACGGGUAGCCGGCCUGGGAGGGUGGCCGGCCACGUUGGGACUGAGCUACGGCCCAGACUCCUACGGUAGGCAGCGGUGGGGAAUAUUGCACAGUGGGCGGAAGCCUGAUGCAGCAACGCCGCGUGCGGGAUGACGUCCUUCGGGUUGUAAACCGCUUUCGCCUGUGCCGAAGCGUGAGUGACGGUAAUGGGUAAAGAAGCACCGGCUAACUACGUG